CUCACACGACUCGUUUGGGUCACAUAUGGUUGAGGACACUCUCACACGUGGUUCAGGGAUAGCUCAGCCAUGGCUCACACGUGACACAGGAGUGCCACAGAACUGGCUCCCAUGUGGCUGACACAUGAUACAGGCUUUGGUCACGCAUGGCUCACACAUGGUUCAGGUGUGUCUCCUGCAUGUCUGUGGUGUUGCUCAGGCGUGGCUCACAUGUGUUUGUGGCAUUGUUUACACAUGGUUCUGGCACGGCAGAUAUCUUGUGCCUGUGUGGCUGACACGUGCUUCAAGUGAGGCUGACCUUUCAUUCAAUUGUGACUCUUACUUGGUUCAGGCCUGGCUUGCACAUGACCUCGGGAUGGCUGAGACAUGUCUCAGGUGUUGCUCACAUGUUAUGCUGGUGUGGCUGACACAUGACUCAGGUCAGCUGGCCAUGUGACAUAGGUCUGCAUGACAUGUCACACAGGUGUGGGUCACACAUGCUUCAUGCAUGGUCUUUGUGUGGUUCAAGGGUGGCUGGUAUAUGGUUCACACAUGGGUGGCAGGUGGUUCAGUCAUAGCUGACAUGUGACUCAGGCAUGUGUGAUACAUGUCUCGGUUGUGGCUGACAAAUGUCUCAGUCAUGUCUGACAUGUGAGUCAGGCAUGCAUCGCACAGAUCCAUAUGUGGCACAAAUGUGGUCACAUGUGUGUGACAUGCCGUACAUGCAUGGCUGCCACCUGACUCACAGUUUCUGAAACGUGGCUCCUGCAUACACAGUCAUGGCUGGCAUGUGGCUCACGCAUGGCUCCACUGUGUUUCACGUGUGGCUCCCAUGCAGGUCAUCUGCGAUUCAAGCAUCAAACAUGUGUGUUUCACAGGUGGUUCAGAUGUGCUUCAAGGGUGUUUCACAUGUGGUUCAUGCAUGGUUCACAUGUGAUGCAGGCAUGCCACAGCACUGGCUCCCACGUAUCUGACAAAUGAUUCAGGCUUUUGACACGCAUGGCUUACACAUGGUUCAUGUGUGGCACAUGCACAGCUGUGGUACCGCUCAAGCAUGAGUCAGAUGUGUUUGUGGCAUGGUUGUUAUGUGGUUCAGCCAUGGCAGGCAAGUUGUGCCAGUGUGGCUGACACGUGCUUCAAAUGAGGCUGACCUGUGGUUCAAGUGUGACUGACACUUGGUUCAGGAUGGGCUGGCAUGUGACAUCGGUAUGGCUGAGACGUGAUUCAGGCAUGGCUCACACGUCAUGCAGGCGUGGCUGACACUUGACUCAUGUGAGGUGGCCACAUGACACUGGCAUGCAUGACAUGUCACCUGGGUGUGGUUCACACAUGGCUCAUGCAUGGCCUUCGUGUGGUUCAUGGGUGGCUGGUGCAGGGUUCACACAUGGGUGGCUGGUGGUUCAGGCGUGGCUGACAUGUGACACAGGCAUGUGUGAAACAUGACCCUGAUGUGGCUCACACAUGUCUCAGUCAUGGCUGACACGUGACUCAGGCAUGCAUUGCACAGGAUCCAUGUGCGGCAGACAUGUUUUCAUGCGUGUGUGACAUGUCAUACAGGUGUGGCUCCCACGUGACUCACAGGUUGCUGAAACGUGGCUCCCACAUGCUCACUCAUGUCUGGCACGUGGCUCACACAUGACUCAGCUGUGUUUCAUGUGUGGCUCCAUUGCAGAUCAUGUGCGAUUCAAGCAUCGAAUAUGUCUGUUUUACAGUUGGUUCAGAUGUGCUUCAAGGGUGUCUCACAUGUGGUUCAUGCAUGGCUCACUCAUGGUUAGGGUGUAAUUCAGGGAUGGCUGACACUCGACUCUUGUGGGGCACACAUCGUAGAGGACACUUUCACCAGUGGUUCAGGCAUAGCUCAGCCAUGGCUCACACGUGAUGUAGGCGUGCCACAGCACUGGCUCCCAUGUAUCUGACACAUGAUUCAGGCUUUUGCCAUGCAUGGCCCACACGUGCCUCAUGCGUGGCAC
rnacentral:lncRNA from 1 species